UACAGAGGUCUCAAGCGUUAUUCGGAAUUAUUGGGCGUAAAGGGCGCGUAGGCGGCUUUGCAAGUGGCGGGUGAAAUCCCUCGGCUUAACCGAGGAACUGCCUGUCAAACUGCAUGGCUUGAGACCGGGAGAGGUGAGUGGAAUUCCAGUGUAGCGGUGAAAUGCGUAGAUAUUGGGAGGAACACCAGUGGCGAAGGCGGCUCACUGGACCGGUACUGACGCUGAUGCGCGAAAGCGUGGGGAGCAAACAGG
rnacentral:rRNA from 1 species